rnacentral:rRNA from 1 species
UACGUAGGGGGCAAGCGUUGUCCGGAUUCAUUGGGCGUAAAGAGCGUGUAGGCGGCCAGGUAGGUCGGUUGUGAAAACUGGAGGCUCAACCUUCAGAGGUCGACCGAAACCAUCUGGCUAGAGUCCGGGAGAGGAGAGUGGAAUUCCUGGUGUAGCGGUGAAAUGCGCAGAUAUCAGGAAGAACACCCGUGGCGAAAGCGGCUCUCUGGAACGGUACUGACGCUGAGACGCGAAAGCGUGGGUAGCGAACAGG